rnacentral:rRNA from 1 species
GAUGAACGCUGGCGGCGUGCCUAAUACAUGCAAGUCGAGCGAACAGAUGAGGAGCUUGCUCCUCUGACGUUAGCGGCGGACGGGUGAGUAACACGUGGAUAACCUACCUAUAAGACUGGGAUAACUUCGGGAAACCGGAGCUAAUACCGGAUAAUAUAUUGAACCGCAUGGUUCAAUAGUGAAAGACGGUUUUGCUGUCACUUAUAGAUGGAUCCGCGCCGCAUUAGCUAGUUGGUAAGGUAACGGCUUACCAAGGCAACGAUGCGUAGCCGACCUGAGAGGGGGAUCGGCCGCACUGGAGCUGAGACACGGUCCAGACUCCUACGGGAGGCAGCAGUAGGGAAUCUUCCGCAAUGGGCGAAAGCCUGACGGAGCAACGCCGCGUGAGUGAUGAAGGUCUUCGGAUCGUAAAACUCUGUUAUUAGGGAAGAACAAAUGUGUAAGUAACUAUGCACGUCUUGACGGUACCUAAUCAGAAAGCCACGGCUAACUACGUG